UAGAAACAACGGUUCCCUUACGAUCACCGAAGUUAAGCAAUGUUAGGCCCGGUCAGUACCUUGAUGGGUGACCCCUUGGGAAUAACUCGUGCUGUAAG